rnacentral:sRNA from 1 species
CCUGAAAUCUCUUGAAGUAUCAGCGGGGGCGGG